rnacentral:misc_RNA from 1 species
UUUCCGUAGGUGAACCUGCGGAAGGAUCAUUAUCGAAAACAUCCGGGCGAGGGUUGUCGCUGGCCCCUCGGGGCAUGUGCACACCUUCGCCCGUAUCCAACUCACCCUUGUGCACCUCCGCGUGGGCCCCUUCACGGGGGUUGCCGCUUUUACACACACCCUUUAAAAUGACCAUGAAUGUCUGUGCGAUAAAAAGCACCUAGUACAACUUUCAACAACGGAUCUCUUGGCUCUC